AUCCAUAUGUCCUUUGCUUCUAUAUAACCCACAACAUCCUCAAAUCUAUAUUUUCACAUUAGUAUAACAAACCACAAAGACAGUUUAGUAUGGCAAGAUUUCUCCACAGCAUAAAAAAACUCAUAUAUGUUACAGUAAUGAGUUUUGAGGUGACCAGACGACCUGUAGCUUGCCUCAUGUCUAUAGCAGAAGAGCGUUAUGGGUGUAGAAACUGGGAUGGGUGUGAAUUUUCUGCAAGCCUUACUCUACAGCAUAUAAGCUUCAUCUCUAUCAUGCUUAGAAAAGAUCAAGUAAGUCUCAGCCAUAUGACUUUUGCUUCUAUAUAACCCACAAGUGAUGCAUUAAUGUCCUCAAACCUAUAUUCUCUCAUUAGUAUAACAAAUCACAGAGACAGUUUCCUAUGACAAGCUUUCUCUGUAGCCCAAAAAACCUCAUAUUUGUUACAGUAAUGAGACUUGAGGUGACUAGACGACCCAAAGUACAUUAACGUCUUCCAAUCUAAAUUCUCUCAUCAGCGUAACAAAUCACAAAGACAGAUUCCUACGAUGUUGUUUUUCGGUAGCAUCAAAAACCUCAUAUUUGUUACGGUAAUGAGACUUUAGGUGCCGAGACAACCCAUAGUGCAUCAAUGUCCACCAUUCUAAAGUUUCUCAUCAGCGUAACAAAUCACAAAGACAGAUUCCUAUGACGUUGUUUUUCUGUAGCCCCAAAAACCUCAUAUUUGUUACGGUAAUGAGACUUUAGGUG